rnacentral:rRNA from 1 species
UACGGAGGGGGCUAGCGUUGUUCGGAAUUACUGGGCGUAAAGCGCACGUAGGCGGUUUGUUAAGUCAGGGGUGAAAUCCCGGAGCUCAACUCCGGAACUGCCUUGAUACUGGCAAGCUAGAGUCCGGAAGAGGUAAGUGGAACUCCUAGUGUAGAGGUGGAAUUCGUAGAUAUUAGGAAGAACACCAGUGGCGAAAGGCGGCUUACUGGUCCGGAACUGACGCUGGAGGUGCGAAGCGUGGGGAGCAAACAGG